ensembl:snoRNA
CUCCAGUGACGACCUGAAAUAAGUGCCACGUGUCUGGGCCACUGAUCCAAGUGAUGGGAUUGAGGAACUGCAC